rnacentral:rRNA from 1 species
AUACGAAGGCGACAAGCGGUAUCCGGAUUUACUGGGCGUAAAGGGCGCGUAGGCGGCCUUGCAAGUCAGAAGUGAAAUUCCUGAGCUCAACUCGGGCGCUGCUGCUGAAACUGCAGGACUUGAGUGCUGGAGGGGCUAGCGGAAUUCAGAGGGGAGCGGUAAAAUGCGUAGAUAUUAGGAAGACCACCGGUGGCGAAGGCGGGUAUCAGGGCAGUAACUGGCGAUGGGGGGAAAAAGCGGGAGGAGCAAACAGGAUAAGAUCCCCUGGUAGCCCCCGCCGUAAACGAUGAAUACGAGAUGUAGGGGGUAACGGCUCCCUCUGUGCCGCAGUUAACACAAUAAGUAUUCCGCCUGGGGAGUGCGGCCGCAAGGUUGAAACUCAAAGGAAUUGACGGGG